AAACCAGCACCUCAAGUGGUCAGGAUGAUUAUUGGGCCUAAAGCAUCCGUAGCCUGUUCUGUAAGUUUUCGGAUAAAUCCAUUAGCUCAACUAAUGGGCUGCCGAAAAUACUGUAGAACUAGGGAGUGGGAGAGGUAGACGGUAUUCGGUAGGAAGGGGUAAAAUCCUUUGAUCUAUUGAGGACCACCUGUGGCGAAGGCGGUCUACCAGAACACGUUCGACGGUGAGGGAUGAAAGCUGGGGGAGCAAACCGGAUUAGAAACCCCAGUAGUCC
rnacentral:rRNA from 1 species